AAGCUCGUAGUUGAAUUUCGAACGUGGCUGGGCGGUCCGCCUCACGGUGUGUACUGUCUGGCCGUGUUCUCUUUCUUGGUGAGCCAGCAUGCUCUUAACUGGGUGUGUUGGGGAACCAGGACGUUUACCUUGAGAAAAUUAGAGUGUUCAAAGCAGGCCUACGCCCGGAUACAUUAGCAUGGCAUAAUAAAAUAGGACGUGCGGUUCUAUUUUGUUGGUUUCUAGAGUCGCCGUAAUGAUUAAUAGGGAUAGUUGGGUGAGCGGGCGUGGC
rnacentral:rRNA from 1 species